rnacentral:rRNA from 1 species
GACGAACGCUGGCGGCGUGCCUAAUACAUGCACGUCGAGCGAAGCUGCUGAUGGGUGAGUAACGCGUGGGUAACCUGCCCUUAAGUCUGGGAUACCAUUUGGAAACAGAUGCUAAUACCGGCUACUAAAGGAUGGACCUGCGAUGCAUUAGCUCGUUGGUACGGUAACGGCUUACCAAGGCGAUGAUGCAUAGCCGAGUUGAGAGACUGUUCGGCGACAGUGGGACGGAGACACGGCCCAAACGCCUAAGGGAGGCAGCAGUAGGGAAUCUUCCACAAUGGACGAAAGUCUGAUGGCGCAACGCCGCGUGAGUGAAGAAGGUUUUCGGAUCGUAAAGCUCUGUUGUUGGUGAAGCGGUAAUCAACCAGAAAGUAACGGCUAACUACGUGCCAGCCGCCGCGGUAAUAC